rnacentral:piRNA from 1 species
UNUUCAACAGUGAUGUCAGCUACCUUCCC